CCGGGCGCUGCCGCCGCCCGGUGCCGGCGCCGGCCGGGUCUGGUACAGGCACUGCGGGGCUUCGCGUUCCCGAGUACGUGCGCCCGGGGCCCCACGCGGGCACAGGCGGCAUUUCCUAUAAGCAGCGAUCAAUAUAUUUGCUUGUUUCCAUCCUUUUCAUUUCACCUUAAUUCUUUAGAGGUCAGAACAUGCUAUGACGUGCAAUAGUAGCGAGUUACCCCCCCGUGGCUGGAUAAAGGAUAAAGGUGUCUCCUUGUAAAGAGUCCCAGUGGUCAUGCUCUAAAAGUGUUUGUCUGUGAGGUUUGGUACAAACCCUUAGAAGGAAACCAGAAGCCAUGGAAGGAAAAUGCAGACAACUGCCUGGGGAGGGAAGAGGCUUUCCUGUAGAGGCUGAUUGUACCAAGCUCAGGAUAUUCUGCACUGUUACUCUGUGGAUAAUGCUGGUAACAAGCUUCUGUUCUUCAGUGUUCUGCAGUGGCACUGCUGCUGAAGAGCUUCUUCAUCCUCUGUGA
rnacentral:lncRNA from 1 species